CUUGACAUCCCGAUGCUAUUCUAGAGAUAGAAAGUUACUUCGGUACAUCGGUGACAGGUGGUGCAUGGUUGUCGUCAGCUCGUGUCGUGAGAUGUUGGGUUAAGUCCCGCAACGAGCGCAACCCCUAUUGUUAGUUGCCAUCAUUCAGUUGGGCACUCUAGCGAGACUGCCGGUAAUAAACCGGAGGAAGGUGGGAUGACGUCAAAUCAUCAUGCCCCUUAUGACCUGGGCUACACACGUGCUACAAUGGUUGGUACAACGAGUUGCGAGUCGGUGACGGCGAGCUAAUCUCUUAAAGCCAAUCUCAGUUCGGAUUGUAGGCUGCAAUUCGCCUACAUGAAGUCGGAAUCGCUAGUAAUCGCGGAUCAGCACGCCGCGGUGAAUACGUUCCCGGGCCUU
rnacentral:rRNA from 1 species